rnacentral:rRNA from 1 species
UACGAAGGGGGCUAGCGUUGCUCGGAAUCACUGGGCGUAAAGGGUGCGUAGGCGGGUCUUUAAGCCAGGGGUGAAAUCCUGGAGCUCAACUCCAGAACUGCCUUUGAUACUGAGGAUCUUGAGUCCGGGAGAGGUGAGUGGAACUGCGAGUGUAGAGGUGAAAUUCGUAGAUAUUCGCAAGAACACCAGUGGCGAAGGCGGCUCACUGGCCCGAUACUGACGCUGAGGCACGAAAGCGUGGGGAGCAAACAGG